rnacentral:misc_RNA from 1 species
UCCCCAAAGGGGCAGUCCGGCCCGCACAAGCGGCGGAGCAUGCGGAUUAAUUCGAUGCAACGCGAAGAACCUUACCUGGGCUUGACAUGCAGGGUGAAACCGGUGAAAGCCGGUGCUCCUUCGGGAGCCUGCACAGGUGCUGCAUGGCUGUCGUCAGCUCGUGCCGUGAGGUGUUGCCUUAAGUGGCGCAACGAGCGCAACCCCUGUCCAAUGUUGCCAGCGGGUAAUGCCGGGGACUCAUUGGAGACUGCCGGUGCCAAACCGGAGGAAGGUGGGGAUGACGUGAGCCUAUCGAGA